GGCAGAGCUCCGGCCCGCAACUUUCCACAGCCCGCAGUCCCUGGGGUGCUGGUUGGCCUGCAGACUCCCGCUCGGCCGGGUUCCACCCAGCUCUCAGGGGAUGCGCUGGCUCUCCGACCUCUCUCUGAGUGGCCAGAACCUAGCUCUGCCCAAAGGCAUCAUUUGACACGGGAGUAGGAGGCUCCAGUUUGGCCUCAGUCCCCACCCGGCUGCUUCUGGAGGGCCCAGCAUUUCAAAGGUCUCAGACGCCUCUGCUCCUGCGUUCAGCGUCUCGGCUCUGCUGGGACCAAGUGGAUACCCCGGGGGCCCUGGAGGACACCAGGAUCGGAGACAAAAAGAACUCAGACAAGGGCGUGUGAAGACAGGCACAAUACUAGGCCGAAGAGCGAGAGGCCGGGCCUGCCCGCGGGAGCACAGGAGUCUUCAGUGGGAGGUGGCCGUGGAGAUGGGCGGCUGUCGUCCUAGUGGGUGGCACGCGUGGAGAGGAGGCUGUGCUGGAGAGAGAGGCCAAGACAAACGGGCUGACUGUUGGCAGCAGCCAUUCUGAACCAGAGGGUGGAGGACAGAAUGAAAAGACGCUUGGAUCCCUGAGGACUGUGGGCUGCCAUACAUAGGAGAGAGAACGCUGAUGGCCCCAGUAUUCCGGGACUGACUGUCUAGACAAUCUCCUCGCUGGGUGAAGAAGACAAGUAAAUGAGCUGGUGUGAAUGAAAUCUUAAAAGCUCUCCAGUGAAGACAGUCCUCGAGACUGAACGUGGCAGCCCCUUUCAACUGGUAACAAUUUUGCGUGUCAGGAUUUCUUGUCUUUUAAAUGCUACUUAAAACCUUUGGUUU